GACAAUCUGAGCUCAAACAGGUAGGACUACCCG
rnacentral:rRNA from 1 species